rnacentral:rRNA from 1 species
GACAGAGGAUGCAAGCGUUAUCCGGAAUGAUUGGGCGUAAAGCGUCUGUAGGUGGCUUUUAAGUCCGCCGUCAAAUCCCAGGCUCAACCCUGGACAGGCGGUGGAACUACCAAGCUGGGGUACGGUAGGGGCAGAGGGAAUUUCCGGUGGAGCGGUGAAAUGCGUAGAGAUCGGAAAGAACACCAACGGCGAAAGCACUCUGCUGGGCCGACACUGACACUGAGAGACGAAAGCUAGGGGAGCGAAUGGG